rnacentral:rRNA from 1 species
AUGAACGCUAGCGGCAGGCUUAACGCAUGCAAGUCGAGGGGCAGCACUUGUAGCAAUACAUGGUGGCGACCGGCGCAAGGGUGCGUAACGCGUGAGCAACAUGCCCGUAUCAGGGGGAUAAUCCAGGGAAACUUGGUCUAAUACCCCAUAGCAAUUAUUUGAGGCAUCUUAAAUAAUUUAAAGCUUUGGUGGAUACGGAUUGGCUCGCGUGACAUUAGCUAGAAGGUAAGGUAACGGCUUACCAUGGCUACGAUGUCUAGGGGUUCUGAGAGGAAGAUCCCCCACACUGGAACUGAGACACGGUCCAGACUCCUACGGGAGGCAGCAGUGAGGAAUAUUGGACAAUGGAUGGAAAUCUGAUCCAGCCAUGCCGCGUGCAGGAAGACGGCCCUAUGGGUUGUAAACUGCUUUUGUGUGGGAGCAAUAAGGUCUAUGCGUAGACUGAUGAGAGUACCAUACGAAUAAGCAUCGGCUAACUCCGUG